AUUGAACGCUGGCGGCAUGCCUUACACAUGCAAGUCGAACGGUAACGGGCCUUCGGGUGCCGACGAGUGGCGAACGGGUGAGUAAUACAUCGGAACGUGCCCGAUCGUGGGGGAUAACGAGGCGAAAGCUUUGCUAAUACCGCAUACGAUCUACGGAUGAAAGCAGGGGACCGCAAGGCCUUGCGCGGACGGAGCGGCCGAUGGCGGAUUAGGUAGUUGGUGGGAUAAAAGCUUACCAAGCCGACGAUCUGUAGCUGGUCUGAGAGGAUGAUCAGCCACACGGGGACUGAGACACGGCCCAGACUCUUAGGGGAGGCAGCAGUGGGGAAUUUUGGACAAUGGGGGAAAGCCUGAUCCAGCAAUGCCGCGUGCAGGAUGAAGGCCUUCGGGUUGUAAACUGCUUUUGUACGGAACGAAAAGCCUUCUUUUAAUACAGGAGGGUCAUGACGGUACCGUAAGAAUAAGCACCGGCUAACUACGUG
rnacentral:rRNA from 1 species